GGGGACCUUCGGGGCCCUUCAACUGCCGGGUCGACACGACCCGCAAAGCAACGGAAGACACAAA
rfam:Loktanella hongkongensis DSM 17492 genomic scaffold Scaffold4, whole genome shotgun sequence.